UAUAAUUAGACAUUUUAUAGUUUAAACCCACUUUACUAAAUAUGGUGGUGUAUUAAAAGGCAGUUGAAAGAACUCCAUAGCCUUGUGAUUCAAUGAUGCAUAAAACAUUUGAUUAUAGAUUAUAUAUAAAUACACUACUCCUUUGUUCCUUUUAAUCAAAGCAACAAAGACACACGGCUCCCUAUAACUUGAUGUAGGGACUAACUAAUUCGGGACCUAAAGGGAAGCUUAAAGAUUUGAGUUCAAAGUGGUCUCAGCUGUAUGCAUUGCUUACAUAUAACUCCAUGCGUUUCUAAUAAUUACUUAGCAACCCCAGUCUUUGAUGCUUAUGCUGUUUGUCUUUGGGCCCACUCAACCGUCGCCGCUCCUACACUGCUCGACCACCGCCGGCUCAACUAUCACACCUACUCGCCCAUCGCUUUUACCUACUGCAUAAUUGGGCGCAGUCAUUGUGAUGCUCGAGGAGGCUGGUUGGUGAAUUCUGAAGCUUCUCGAGAUUGCCAAGGGCGGAGUGCACGACGACAAAAGUGCAUCUGAUCGAUAAUGGAGGGUCAGGGGAGCUUUUCGUUACGCGUGACGACGGCGAUCUUGAAGUCUUGCAAGCAGGUGGGGUAACACGUAAUUACCCCUGAGAAAGGUUGAUCAAAGCAGCAGAGAGAUGAGAAGCGGAUAAGCCAUGCCAUCAAGUAUGCCUCCUCAGAGGCUGCGUUGCAUGGAGGCCUCGCCUCACUGUUGCUCUUUCUAGGAUUCCACUCCACCAAAUCUCUCACAUCUUUGUUCUAUCGAGCUGGUCUUUUCCUGCCCUCAUGAUUUCUUGGUCUUGCUUGGCGUUCUUGGCUGUUUUGGCAUGGUUUUGAUGUUCUAUGCUUCCCGUACUGUUGUGACCUCAAAUUCUAGCAAAGGAUGAAACGGUGGUCUUGAUCUGAACAAUGCUGAAUCCUCUCCCAAGUGAGAAACAAGCAGAUGGAAGAGAUGGCUACUCGGUCACAUCUGGUUGUUUCCUUGAAGGCAAUUCAUUCUUGGCUUAUCGACAAUGAUGGUUUUAUCAUCAUGUAACAUUACAAUGAUGGUGAAAGUCCUGCAUGCUAUGGUGAUUGUGGAUGUUUGUUUACUGACUGAUUCUUGUGCAAAAUGUUGAGUCCAUUAUUUUUCAGAUACGUUUGAUCUCUGUAGAAACAGAUCAUGAAGAUUUCAGUGGGAAUUUCCCGGUGGUAACUUGAUUUUAUGUUACUUAUUCUGUAUUUAGAUUGUACUUUGCAUGGCUACUUUCAAGAGUUUGUGAAA